ACUCCUACGGGAGGCAGCAGUGAGGAAUAUUGGUCAAUGGGCGAGAGCCUGAACCAGCCAAGUCGCGUGAAGGAAGAAGGAUCUAUGGUUCGUAAACUUCUUUUGCAGGGGAAUAAAGUGCGGGACGUGUCCUGUUUUGUAUGUACCCUGAGAAUAAGGAUCGGCUAACUCCGUGCCAGCAGCCGCGGUAAUACGGAGGAUCCGAGCGUUAUCCGGAUUUAUUGGGUUUAAAGGGUGCGUAGGUGGUUUUAUAAGUCAGCGGUGAAAGUUUGCAGCUUAACUGUAAAAAUGCCGUUGAAACUGUAAGACUUGAGUGUAAAUGAGGUAGGCGGAAUGCGUGGUGUAGCGGUGAAAUGCAUAGAUAUCACGCAGAACUCCGAUUGCGAAGGCAGCUUACUAAGCUACAACUGACACUGAAGCACGAAAGCGUGGGGAUCAAACAGGAUUAGAUACCCUGGUAGUC
rnacentral:rRNA from 1 species